rnacentral:snRNA from 1 species
GACGAUACAGGGAAGAUUAGCAUGCUCCCUGCACAAGGAAAAUAUCUAGAUUUGAAAUUCCUUGAAUUUUG